AUUUCACGGCAGCUCAGGCUGAAUGAGAUUGAUGCCAAAAGCCUCUCACUGCCGCGUUGGAAAUGUCCUCUGCACUCCAUAAACUGAGUAGAUUAAACUAAGAAAAAGAGUAGUGAAGGAAAAAAAAUGUAAAAGCAGAUUGAGAUGGACUGCUACUCUUCUUUUGCGACCCCAGAGCUUAAUUUGGAAUGUUUGCCUCCAAUUUAAAUUACUGAAAUAAAAUCAAAAUCUGCAUUCAAGUCAUUUCAACGUUGAGUUGAAAUUAAGCAGUACAACUGAUUGUUCAAUUGGAGUUGGACAGCAAGUGAAGAUCCAGAAGCCGACACCUCUGGCUGUGCCCACCUCUGCAAGUUUACAAUUAUUGUAAAGCUUUUAAAAUUGAACAAUAAAGAUUCAGAGAAAUA